UAGGGAAUCUUCCGCAAUGGACGCAAGUCUGACGGAGCAACGCCGCGUGAGUGAAGAAGGAUUUCGGUUCGUAAAACUCUGUUGUUAGAGAAGAACAGCGCAUAGAGUAACUGUUAUGCGUGUGACGGUAUCUAACCAGAAAGCCACGGCUAACUACGUGCCAGCAGCCGCGGUAAUACGUAGGUGGCAAGCGUUGUCCGGAUUUAUUGGGCGUAAAGCGAGCGCAGGCGGUCAAUUAAGUCUGAUGUGAAAGCCCCCGGCUCAACCGGGGAGGGUCAUUGGAAGCUGGUUGACGUGAGUGCAGAAGGGGAGGGUGGAAUUCCAUGUGUGGCGGUGAAAUGCGUAGAUAUAUGGAGGAACACCAGUGGCGAAGGCGACUCACUGGUCUGUAACUGACGCUGAGGUUCGAAAGCGUGGGUAGCAAACAGG
rnacentral:rRNA from 1 species